rnacentral:lncRNA from 1 species
GUUGUGUCUCGGUCUCCCGGGUGCUGGGAUUACAAGCCUGUGUUUGAAAUGUUAUUUUUAAAGAUGUACUUUACAUAACCUUUUGAGAUCUUUUGCCACGUAAAAAUAUUAUUCCUGUGAUUUAUGUACUUGAAUGCUACUAGACAGUGCCUGCGAAACAGAAAUCAUGGGAAUCUCAGCACUGAUUUAAAAUGGAAAAAGCACCAACCCAAGAAAACAAAGCAACUACAUGAAGGGAAAAGUGGGAGCAGCGGGGAGCACCCUGGAGAGAACGCAUGGACCCGGUGAUCACACAGCGGUGGAAAUCACGCCAAGAGACGGAGCUCUGCGGAGAGCGGAGGACUCACAGGGGUCCUUCCCAGGCAGUGUCACCAGGGAAGGCAUCUUGGAGCGGCGGUCUUGGGGAGAUCUGAAGGCUGAGCUGGGGUGUGGCGGAAGGUGGGAGAGGGGCCCCUCCGCAGGGCGCGCCCUCUGGCCGGGAGAAUUGGCGCUGCGGAAGGGAUGGCGGACCGCGCAGACUUGGCAUUGCCAAAACCACCCUGCCGCGGUGUGGGGUGUGGGCAGGUGAGGAGGGUGGACGGUGACUGGAUCCGUCAGGAGGCCACUACCGUCACCCUGGUGAGCGAUGCCCGCGACUUUGACGGAGAUAGUGGUGGGAGACGGAAGAGAGGACAGAGCUGAACAGGUUAGCCUGAGCCCUGAGGUAAACAUCUCUAUGGGUUCUGUGACCCCAAAUUCAGGGGGACUACAUUCCUUCGAAACAUCUGGUCCCGAGAAGUGCUCUUCCUUUCUUCUUGAUCAUCUUGAGUAAGACCAGCAAUGUCUUUCUUGUUCUAAUCUCAGUGAAGGAACAGGGCACUUUCCUGGCAGUGUCUGGAAUGCAUGGGGGACGUCGGAUUUGUGCUGGCCGUGUGAAUGAAUGAGUGAGACGGCUUCCACCUGCUCUCUCUGCCCACUCGCUGUCCUGGGUGAGGCUGGCUGUAGUGAGGACAGCCUGCCUGCCUGUCUCGGGGCAUCCAGGAGGGGUGUGCGCACCCUCUGUAACGACAUGAGACCCUACGGACCGAGGCAGUGCUCUUCUCUUCUGGGUCCUCAGGAUCCCAGAAGGCGCCUCCUGAAGCCCCCGGGGCAGCCUGUAGGAGUAACACCCCCUAAACCCUGUUGGUCUUCCCUCUGUUGGGAUCGACAGUGAGUAUGGGACACUGGCACUGACCCCUCUGCAAUUCCCCUGCGGGGUGGCAGUGACACACAGAGACCAAAAUGUACCUCGCUCUUGUCCUUUAGAAUUGGCCUCUGUAAAGCUAACCAGUGGUCCACAAGAUCAUCCCCCUUUCUGACACCAACUGCCAAACACCACCCUCGGUUCCAGUCAUUUGCUGGAAGGGUGCGUGGAACUCACCCAAGGCUAAGCUUAGGGUUUGUUAGAGCAAAUGACAGGCUGAGGUCAGCACGGGGUGGGGUCCGGGAGAGGUCCAAACGCAGACCUUCCGCCCGUCCUCGCCCAGGGACAGCGUGGACGCUUCCUGACAACACGGGCGACAGUAUGCACGGGGCAUUGCCACCCAGGGCAGCCACGAAGGUGUGGUGUCCAGGGCUUUUAGUGGGGCUUGGCCAUGUGGACAUGGGAGCAAGGGCAAAGCCAAACCUUUGCACCAGGCAAAUCCCUGUCACUUGCCCUCAGUUUCCCCACAGUAUCUGAGCCACGUGGUUGGCCUUAGCCGCCAGCCCCUCCUGAGGUAGAGCUGUGCUGUGUGACCCAAAGCCCCACCAUAAAUCAGUGUUACUGUCCAGCGCAGCCCAAAUUCUCUAAGUGGAAAGACAUUCGUGCAAGACAACCCCGGGGGUUAGAAGUCGCCUCCAGGAAGCUGAGGGCAAAGCCCCACCUCUCUUUGGAGGAGGCAAAAUUCCGUUACCCUCAGCUCACCGGCAUGUGAUCUGCUGCGAGCAGUAGCCAGCCAUGUACAUAGAAAUCUUAUUUUUAUUUGUUUUCAGAAAUGACUUUGCAGGUUAAAGGGUAGGUGAAAAAACUGGACCUUCUAGGUAAAGUAAUGAUUACAAAUGAAGAUCAGUUUCUGCAGUCUGGCUGCCGAUGGUCACGUCCCCCCUCAGCCUCAGCUAACCGGUGAUUUUAUCUUUCUCUGCCUCCAUUUCCUCAUUCGUACCUGGGAUUAAUAUCAGUAGCUACCUUGUGUUGUAAUCACAAAAAUCAAAUGAGAUCAUACAUAUUACGGGCAGAAAAGUACACGGCACACACGGAGAAGCAGAACUCAAUAAAUGCUGGAUAUUAUUGUUAUGCUUACUGGUGUCCUGAGAAAAAUUUGCCAAGCUUUUUUCAAAUCAUUUCCUUUGGGCAAACAUGCAGAGGGUUGUUCUCAGAACUCUCCCCCUUUAUUUUUACCCUUCUGUGUGUCUUAGACACCAGGGCAAGUAUGAGAGAACAGCCUUCCCUCAGACACUGCGUUGCUGCUUUCCGGAAGAGCCCUGAUUUCGAUCGGGGAGCAGCACCCCUUUAGGCCAUGUGUUCAGUGAGUCUGGGACGUGGAAAUUGUUGGCAGAUCUCUGCUGCCAAAUGUGAGAGGAUUUAAAAGAUUUAUUUAAAAGAUAUGUCAUUUUCCCAAGUCACUUCUGAGAAACUCUUGAAUCAGUGAUUUCAGGACUGAUGUGCCAAGCCGUGGUCGAGCAUGGAGCCCUUGAAGAUGGUCUUUGGCAGGCGUUACCUUGCCAGUACUCACAGUGUCCUUCCUCAGAAGGGAUGCAAUGGCCUUUUGGAAACUCCAUAAGCUACAAGAGCUUCUGAUGUGAGCAGACCUUGAGUCCUUGCCAGCCCCUAAUGGUUCAACCUUUCCUGGGAAGGCAGUUGAACUUGAGACUCGGCUUUGAGUUUUGCCAGCUGUGAGCUGUCUCGUGUCCUCGUGUGAUGUGUCUUAAGAUUGUUUUUCCAGCGUGGUGGUGCUUGCCUGUAAUCCCAGCACUCAGGAGGCUGAGGCAGGAGGAUCGCUGUGAGUUCAAAACCAGCCUGGGCUACAUAGUGAGUUCCAGAUCAGUCUCAACUGCAUAGAGAGACCCUGUCUCAAAAAAACCAAAACCAAACAAAC